rnacentral:tRNA from 1 species
GCGCCCGUAGCUCAGCCUGGAUAGAGCGCUUGCCUUCUAAGCAAGGGGUCGUAGGUUCAAAUCCUAUCGGGCGCG